CGAAGACUACCCUGCCAGAACCUGCUCGGAGGCCAGAGACACCGCCUAUUCAGGACAAAGAACCAUCUCCAUCUGUGGUCAAUUUGUGUUCACGUCGUUCAAGUGCUCCGUCACAGCAGACAAAAAACCCACCGUCACAGCAGUCACCAAACCCAGCGGAAUCAUGUGCACAAGUCAGUGCAAUGUCAUUGGCGCCGAACCCAGCGGAAUCAUGUGCACAAGUCAGUGCAAUGUCAUUGGCGCCGGUUUUCUAUCCACCGAAUAAUCCACAAAGCGAUCCCCCGACUCCCCAAGGAUAUUAUACCUCUUAUUGCUCUCCUCAUUUAGGCAGAUACCCACUAGGAGCAUGUUCCAAUUGGUAUUGUGUCUAUUGCCGUCGACCACGCUGUCCUCAACAGAGUUCAAGUUGCUACUGCAGCACAACCAAUAGAUCACCGCCUUUCAACAUGACUGGACCACCACCCUGCUGUAUAUCGUCCUGCUACAAUGCUUACCCUAGUUAUGGAAAUGCCCUUUGUCAUGGAGCAUCCCCUUAUUAUGGUAGCCAAUAUCCCAAUCCUUGUAGCCAAUCUAAUAUUGUAGACAAGAUUCCACAAGAAGUUAUACCACAAGAACAUGUUCCUCUAACGAGUAAGAACGAGAUGCAGAGACAGGAACUUUUUGGAAAAGGAAUGCAUGUUGUUUGAAUACUUAACAUCCUCAAUGCGUACAAGCUACUGUCAGAAAGUCACUAACGUUUAAUCCUUACAAUGAAAACAGAGCAAGAAACUACAAAAUGCGAGCCCUUACAGUGUAGUAGUAGGGAAAUUGCAUCAACAUUUUAUUAACAAAACGUGAUGGCUUAUUGUCCCCAUGUCCUUUUCAAUUUGAUGUAGUAAACCAAGAGACUAUAGAAAAAGCCUGGGCGUCUUUAAGGCUCUUUGGCCAUUCAUGGCACUUCAAGAGCACUCGAAUGGCUUCUAACCACGAUUUCGACUACAUGGACUCGCUGUCAUCAAGUAAUGACUCAGCUAAGGAUGGUGCUUGUUCCCUUCGUGGCUUCAAGAAUCUUAUACAUCGAUAUUUCACUAUAUAACGCGCACCGCUGUCAGCACCUAUCAAUUGAAAGUCAGCUAUCGUACCAAAUCCAUAAGAACUUCAAUGUUAUAAUUGAAGAGCCCGCGGUACCGAACAAAGUGGAUAAGCAAACAAAUGGGGAAAAAAGUACCUGUAGUUUUUUCUGUCAACAGAAUUGUACAACAGAACUAGUGGGAACAAUGGAAAGUUUUAAGUUCUGUUAACAUUGGAGGAAAAUGAAACUCUUGCCAUGUGACAUGUUAACUGGAACAAAGAGCUAUAUAAUUCUUUUAAAUCACAACUUAUGGUGCUCAUCGAAGCGACCGAAGGAACAUUUUACAAGCGGUAAAGGAAAUAGAAAUGUCCAUUUGACGCUUGAACUUCACAUUUGCAUGUUUUACACCUGGAAAGACGCGCGAAAGCUCGCACAAGCCGCAAAAUACACGCGUAUGGAUCAGGUUAGAGUCGCAUGUGCAAGGCUGCCUCAGAAGGCGUGCUUGAAGAUGCGUAAGGACAUUCAAAAAAGUGUGUGAAGCUUCUUUGCCGUGCUAUGCAUAUUGAUGUGAGUUGAC